rnacentral:rRNA from 1 species
UACGUAGGUGGCAAGCGUUGUCCGGAUUUACUGGGCGUAAAGGGCGCGAAGGCGGUCGGAUAAGUCGGUGGUGAAAGCCCCUGGCUCAACCAGGGAGGGUCAUUCGAUACUGUUCGACUCGAAGGCAGGAGAGGGAAGUGGAAUUCCGGGUGUAGUGGUGAAAUGCGUAGAUAUCCGGAGGAACACCGGUGGCGAAGGCGGGUCUCUGGGCCGAUACUGACGCUGAGGAGCGAAAGCGUGGGGAGCAAACAGG